AGAAAUUUAAAUUUAAAACAGUCUUGACGGAUCUAAAGUAUACAUUUCAUAUAAUUAUCCUGUUUGAAUUAUAUUUGAUGAGAAAACAGAAAUAAACCAAUGAUUGAUAUCCCAAUAAGCACUCCAAUUUUCGAAAAUUGAAAUAAUACAUACAAAGUUAAUAACAAACAUUGACAAAGCACAUACUGUAAUUCCUUUUUAGAUUGAUCAAAAGAUAAUAAAUAAAAAAACUUUCAGGAUUAGUUUCAGCAAACAUAAGUUGACCUGUUAAUAGAAUAGUGGAAAAAACCACAACGAUGAUGUAGUGUAUAUUACGUCAGUGCCGCGACAGUCGGGCGCGUGAAGGAUAUGGAAGGGGUGGUCUCUUAAAAAAGAACAGGUUGAAACAUGUUAGAAAACAGUUGCUUUACAACCGUUACAGGCAGUGAUAUGAAUUUGUAAAUUACCAAAAUAUUUACCGUAAUUUACUGUAAAUUACCAAACAAAUUUUUCAUAAAUUAUCGCUAGGAGCUAGGAUGUACCUGCGCAUGCGCUUUCGGUGUUUUGAUAAUGCGGUAAAGUCCCUAUAAGAAACUUAAAAGAGUUGGUUAUAACAGAAACUAUAACAAGUAUUUUAGACGAAAAUAUUGAACGUAACAUUUUAAGCGAUAUAUUCUGGGGGAAACUUGAUACAUAAUAUAAGAUUUUAAAUCUCUUGUUGUUGUCUUGUUGUUGACUAUUUUCAACAUUUGAAUGAUCAACUACAAAGUGAAUGCCCAGUUUUAGAAGUAAACACAAUUCUAUCACUUUUAAAAGCAUGAAGAGAUAUGGCUGUAACACCUUUACACUUAGUAGCAAAUUUACUAGAUCCAAAAAUUAUGGGAAAACAUCUCAGUAACGACGGGCACAUGGCAGCAUUGACAUAUAUUAUAUCAAUAAAUUAUCGGCGCUUCUGGUUAAUGUAGCAAACGUUAUGACUGAAAUUGCUUAUUAUAAAAUCAAUUAUUUUCUAAUGGUUUCAUAUGGAAAGCUUUGGAUAUGGGUGAACUGCAGAGUUUUUGUUACAUAUACGUACGAAGGCUUUCACGGCCGGUGUUAAUUAAACUAAAACUAGCAUAAAUACUGAGAAAAAAAAAACCGUAAUUUACAACAGUAAUUUACACAAAUUAUAAAUUACCGUAAUUUUACAUCACUGAUUACAGGGAACGGAUGCCUACUAAAAUAAUGUACCAAACAGAUUGUUAUAACAAUAA